rnacentral:rRNA from 1 species
CUCAGGAUGAACGCUGGCGGCGUGCUUAACACAUGCAAGUCGAACGAAGCAACUGUGAUUGAGACUUCGGUGGAUUGAUCAGUUGACUUAGUGGCGGACGGGUGAGUAACGCGUGGGUAACCUGCCUCAUACAGGGGGAUAACAGUUAGAAAUGACUGCUAAUACCGCAUAAGCGCACAGAGCUGCAUGGCUCAGUGUGAAAAACUCCGGUGGUAUGAGAUGGACCCGCGUCUGAUUAGCUAGUUGGUAAGGUAACGGCUUACCAAGGCGACGAUCAGUAGCCGGACUGAGAGGUUGACCGGCCACAUUGGGACUGAGAUACGGCCCAGACUCCUACGGGAGGCAGCAGUGGGGAAUAUUGGGCAAUGGGCGCAAGCCUGACCCAGCAACGCCGCGUGAAGGAAGAAGGCUUUCGGGUUGUAAACUUCUUUUGUCGAGGAAGAGUAGAAGACUGUACUCGGCGAAUAAGCCACGGCUAACUACGUG